rnacentral:rRNA from 1 species
CUGGUGAGUAACACGUGGGUAACCUGCCCGGACCCUGGGGAUAACACUUGGAAACAGGUGCUAAUACCGUAUAACAACUGAAACCGCAUGGUUUCAGUUUAAAAGAUGGUUUCGGCUAUCACUUCUGGAUGGACCCGCGGCGUAUUAGCUAGUUGGUGGAGUAAUGGUUCACCAAGGCAAUGAUACGUAGCCGACCUGAGAGGGUAAUCGGCCACAUUGGGACUGAGACACGGCCCAAACUCCUACGGGAGGCAGCAGUAGGGAACCCUCCACAAUGGACGAAAGUCUGAUGGAGCAACGCCGCGUGAGUGAAGAAGGGUUUCGGCUCGUAAAACUCUGUUGUUGAAGAAGAACACAUCUGAGAGUAACUGUUCAGGUGUUGACGGUAUUUAACCAGAAAGCCACGGCUAACUACGUGCCAGCAGCCGCGGUAAUACGUAGGUGGCAAGCGUUGUCCGGAUUUAUUGGGCGUAAAGCGAGCGCAGGCGGUUUCUUAAGUCUGAUGUGAAAGCCUUCGGCUUAACCGGAGAAGUGCAUCGGAAACUGGGAGACUUGAGUGCAGAAGAGGACAGUGGAACUCCAUGUGUAGCGGUGAAAUGCGUAGAUAUAUGGAAGAACACCAGUGGC